GACGAACGCUGGCGUCGUGCUUAACACAUGCCAGUCGAACGGAAAGGCCCUGCUUUUGUGGGGUGCUCGAGUGGCGAACGGGUGAGUAACACGUGAGUAACCUGCCCUUGACUUUGGGAUAACUUCAGGAAACUGGGGCUAAUACCGGAUAGGAGCUCCUGCUGCAUGGUGGGGGUUGGAAAGUUUCGGCGGUUGGGGAUGGACUCGCGGCUUAUCAGCUUGUUGGUGGGGUAGUGGCUUACCAAGGCUUUGACGGGUAGCCGGCCUGAGAGGGUGACCGGCCACAUUGGGGCUGAGAUACGGCCCAGACUCCUACGGGAGGCAGCAGUGGGGAAUAUUGCACAAUGGGCGGAAGCCUGAUGCAGCAACGCCGCGUGCGGGAUGACGGCCUUCGGGUUGUAAACCGCUUUCGCCUGUGACGAAGCGUGAGUGACGGUAAUGGGUAAAGAAGCACCGGCUAACUACGUG
rnacentral:rRNA from 1 species